UGGUUCGUAGUGUAGUGGUUAUCACGCUUCGUUUACACCGAAGAUGUCCCCAGUUCGAAUCUGGGCGGACCCA